rnacentral:rRNA from 1 species
UCGAUUCCCUUAGUAGCGGCGAGCGAAACGGGAAGAGCCCAAACCAACAAGCUUGCUUGUUGGGGUUGUAGGACACUCUAUACGGAGUUACAAAGGACGACAUUAGACGAAUCAUCUGGAAAGAUGAAUCAAAGAAGGUAAUAAUCCUGUAGUCGAAAAUGUUGUCUCUCUUGAGUGGAUCCUGAGUACGACGGAGCACGUGAAAUUCCGUCGGAAUCUGGGAGGACCAUCUCCUAAGGCUAAAUACUCUCUAGUGACCGAUAGUGAACCAGUACCGUGAGGGAAAGGUGAAAAGCACCCCGGAAGGGGAGUGAAAUAGAACCUGAAACCGUGUGCUUACAAGUAGUCAGAGCCCGUUAAUGGGUGAUGGCGUGCCUUUUGUAGAAUGAACCGGCGAGUUACGAUUUGAUGCAAGGUUAAGCAGUAAAUGUGGAGCCGUAGCGAAAGCGAGUCUGAAUAGGGCGUUUAGUAUUUGGUCGUAGACCCGAAACCAGGUGAUCUACCCUUGGUCAGGUUGAAGUUCAGGUAACACUGAAUGGAGGACCGAACCGACUUACGUUGAAAAGUGAGCGGAUGAACUGAGGGUAGCGGAGAAAUUCCAAUCGAACCUGGAGAUAGCUGGUUCUCUCCGAAAUAGCUUUAGGGCUAGCCUCAAGUGAUGAUUAUUGGAGGUAGAGCACUGUUUGGACGAGGGGCCCCUCUCGGGUUACCGAAUUCAGACAAACUCCGAAUGCCAAUUAAUUUAACUUGGGAGUCAGAACAUGGGUGAUAAGGUCCGUGUUCGAAAGGGAAACAGCCCAGACCACCAGCUAAGGUCCCAAAAUAUAUGUUAAGUGGAAAAGGAUGUGGCGUUGCCCAGACAACUAGGAUGUUGGCUUAGAAGCAGCCAUCAUUUAAAGAGUGCGUAAUAGCUCACUAGUCGAGUGACACUGCGCCGAAAAUGUACCGGGGCUAAACAUAUUACCGAAGCUGUGGAUUGUCCUUUGGACAAUGGUAGGAGAGCGUUCUAAGGGCGUUGAAGCAUGAUCGUAAGGACAUGUGGAGCGCUUAGAAGUGAGAAUGCCGGUGUGAGUAG